AAGCCUCAGCUGGUGCUUUAAAUGUUUCGGAUCCCACAUGUCAGUGAGCCAUCCAUCAGCAAAAGCGAAAAAGACGAGCCACCCAAGAGUAACCAGAAGCAGUCGUCAAAGGGCCAAAGUCCCCUGCUCCCCGCCCGGCGCCCGCGGCCCGCCGCUCAAACCCCUAAACCCUAGCCGCACCAGCGCCCUAUUCCCUCCUUCGGCGGCUCCGGCAGCGAGCGGUCACUAGCAACCAGCAUCGUACGGCGAAGAAGCGCCGUUUACACCCAUCUGGCGGAGAUGCCGCUGGGGCAGCGUCCGGGGGACAAGAGUGACGCCCGCUACUGCGGGGUGGAGGUGCUCGACUUCCCUGCCGGCGAGGACCUCCCCGCCGUUCUCAACCACUCCCUCGCCUCCGCCUUCGACUUCAUCCUCGUCCCUCUGGUUGACCCCAACUACCGGCCGGCGCCCGGCUCCGUUCUGCCCGUGUCGGCGUCGGACCUCAUCCUUGGCCCGGCCCAGUGGAGCAACCACGUCGUCGGGAAGAUCAGCGAGUGGAUUGAUUUGGACUCUGAGGACGAGCGGCUCCGCCUUGACUCCGAGCUCACGCUGAAGCAGGAGAUUGCGUGGGCGUCUCACGUCUCGUUGCAGGCAUGUGUUCUUCCUGCCCCCAGGAGAUCUUUUUGUGGCAAUUAUGCCAGAGUCGUGAAUCAAAUUUUGCAAGGCCUGACCAAUAUGCAUUUGUGGCUCAGGUUGCCUCUGGAGAAGUCCGAGCCUAUGGAUGAUGAUCUUGAUAAAAUAAAGAAUAACAGCCACACGUUACAGAGUGAAAUUGUAGACUCAUGGGAAUUAUGGAAUUCAUUCAGAUUGCUAUGUGACCAUAGUAGCCAACUAUGUGUGGCACUUGAUAUUUUGAGCACUCUGCCAUCAAUAAACUCAUUAGCAAGGUGGUUUGGAGAGCCUGUAAGGGCUGCUAUUCUGCAAACCGAGGCUUUUCUUACAAAUGCAAAAGGAUAUCCUUGUUUAUCAAAGCGCCAUCAGAGUCUGCUAACUGGAUUUUUUAAACAUUCUGUUCAGGUGAUAAUAUCUGGAAGAUCAAAUCACAAUGUUUUCCCAGUAUCUGAAGGAGUGCUCUCAGGUGACGAGAGCUACGCAGAAGAUUCCCGUGUUCGACAUGCAUUAACUCCUUACCUUGAAUACAUUGCGUACCUAUAUCGGAAGAUGGAUCCGCUUCCUGAGCAGGAACGCAUUGAGAUUAAUUACAGGGACUUUUUGCAGUCUCCUCUGCAGCCUCUAAUGGACAAUUUGGAAGCUCAAACUUAUGAGACAUUUGAGAAGGAUGUUGUGAAGUACACUCAGUAUCGAAGAGCAGUUGCUAAGGCCUUGGUUGAUAGGGUUGCUGAUGAUGCAGUCUCCACAACUAGGACGGUGCUGAUGGUUGUGGGAGCAGGACGGGGACCUCUAGUACGAGCUUCAUUGCAGGCCGCUGAAGAAACUGGUCGCAAAUUAAAAGUAUAUGCUGUUGAAAAAAAUCCUAACGCUGUUAUUACUCUUCAUAGUUUGAUCAAAUUGGAGGGUUGGGAAAGCCUGGUUACUGUAAUUUCUAGUGACAUGCGGUGUUGGGACGCCCCUGAAAAGGCAGAUGUUUUGGUCAGUGAAUUGCUUGGGUCCUUUGGUGACAAUGAACUAUCUCCUGAGUGUCUUGAUGGUGCUCAGAGAUUCUUGAAGCCUGAUGGGAUUUCCAUUCCUUCAUCAUACACCAGCUUCAUCCAACCAAUAACAGCAUCAAAAUUGCACAACGAUAUCAAAGCACACAAAGACAUUGCACAUUUUGAAACCGCAUAUGUUGUCAAACUACACCGCAUAGCGACACUUGCACCUCCACAACAGGUUUUUACUUUCACCCAUCCAAAUUUCUCACCAAAUGCUAGCAACCAAAGGUACACCAAGUUGCAAUUUGAAAUGCUGCCAGAUAUGGGUUCAUGCCUUGUGCAUGGAUUUGCUGGUUAUUUUGACUCUGUACUUUAUAAAGAUGUUCAUCUUGGAAUCGAGCCAAACACAGCUACACCAAACAUGUUUAGCUGGUUCCCCAUCUUCUUCCCAUUGAGAAAACCCAUCUAUGUGCCGGAAGGGUCUCCUAUAGAAGUGCACUUCUGGCGGUGCUGUGCCCCCACAAAGGUGUGGUACGAGUGGGCUGUGACUACACCGACCCUGUCGCCGAUCCACAACAGCAAUGGCCGGUCCUAUUGGGUUGGUCUAUAGUAACUAGUAAGGCAAUCAAGAUGGUCGCUUUGUGUUGUAACAGAGAAGAAAAAAAAACAGAGAGAUGAUAGGGUCCACCGGUCCAGUUCUAUUUGAGCCGGGUGCUACUGGUUUCUGCCUGGAGGAGCAGAUCAAAGGAUCUGUAACGCGUUGCUAUCUGAAAGGCAUUUCAGGUCAUUGUCCGCAACAAGAAGAGAGUAGGAUAUAACUAUGAACUAAGCUUGAGAUUUAGCGGUGAAUGGUUAAUCAAAGAAGAAAACAAGAAGAUCAAAGGGCAUCUAGACAUUCCCGAGUUUUCAUUCGGCGAGAUCGAUGACUUGGAGGUACAAGUAAGGCUCGGCGAUGACAAGGGCCUCGCCUCUGAUGAUAGAACACGGAUCUGCAAGGAUCUCAAGUCCUUUUUGGCGCCGAUCCAGGAGAAAAUGCGCAUGUUUGAAGAAGAGCUCAAAGGUAGAUAGCGAGUAUUAGCAAGAGUUCGCAGUGCUAGGCAAGUGACUUGGCAGUUGGCACCGCCGUGCUAGCUGUGAUGUGUGUGUCGCAACGCUCUCAAAGCUGAGACUGUAUGUGUACUGGUGUAAUACACUUGUCAAGAUGAGCACGUACGAACUGUUCUCUUGGUAUCCCUCAUUUUCAGCAUGUGAUAGUAAAAGGAAUUCAAGAUGUUUUUGCAUGAAUGGUAUGGAUAUAGGCUCUGUUUGGCACAGCUUA